rnacentral:rRNA from 1 species
UGCCUAGGAAUCUGCCUGGUAGUGGGGGAUAACGUCCGGAAACGGGCGCUAAUACCGCAUACGUCCUGAGGGAGAAAGUGGGGGAUCUUCGGACCUCACGCUAUCAGAUGAGCCUAGGUCGGAUUAGCUAGUUGGCGGGGUAAAGGCCUACCAAGGCGACAAUCCGCAACUGGUCUGAGAGGAUGAUCAGUCACACUGGAACUGAGACACGGUCCAGACU